rnacentral:rRNA from 1 species
UAAAGCGUGCGCAGGCGGUUUUGUAAGUCUGUCGUGAAAUCCCCGGGCUCAACCUGGGAAUUGCGAUGGAGACUGCAAGGCUAGAGUUUGGCAGAGGGGGGUAGAAUUCCACGUGUAGCAGUGAAAUGCGUAGAUAUGUGGAGGAACACCGAUGGCGAAGGCAGCCCCCUGGGUCAAAACUGACGCUCAUGCACGAAAGCGUGGGGAGCAAACAGGAUUAGAUACCGGGU